rnacentral:rRNA from 1 species
AUUGAACGCUGGCGGCAGGCUUAACACAUGCAAGUCGAGCGGGGACUUCGGUCCUAGCGGCGAACGGGUGAGGAAUGCUUGGGAAUCUGCCCAGUAGCGGGGGAUAACGUUUCGAAAGGAACGCUAAUACCGCAUACGCCCUACGGGGGAAAGGGGGGGAUCUUCGGACCUCUCACUAUUGGAUGAGCCCAAGUCGGAUUAGCUAGUUGGUGGGGUAAAGGCCUACCAAGGCGACGAUCCGUAGCUGGUCUGAGAGGAUGAUCAGCCACACUGGAACUGAGACACGGUCCAGACUCCUACGGGAGGCAGCAGUGGGGAAUAUUGGACAAUGGGCGAAAGCCUGAUCCAGCCAUGCCGCGUGUGUGAAGAAGGCCUUCGGGUUGUAAAGCACUUUAAGCGAGGAGGAAUGGCUCUUGGUUAAUAACCUUGAGCAGUGACGUUACUCGCAGAAUAAGCACCGGCUAACUCUGUGCCAGCCGCCGCCGUAACAC